rnacentral:rRNA from 1 species
AGUGAACGCUGGCGGUAGGCCUAACACAUGCAAGUCGAACGAGUGGCGGACGGGUGAGGAAUACAUCGGAAUCUACUCUUUCGUGGGGGAUAACGUAGGGAAACUUACGCUAAUACCGCAUACGAAUGAAUGAGCCGAUGCCCGAUUAGCUAGUUGGCGGGGUAAGAGCCCACCAAGGCGACGAUCGGUAGCUGGUCUGAGAGGAUGAUCAGCCACACUGGAACUGAGACACGGUCCAGACUCCUACGGGAGGCAGCAGUGGGGAAUAUUGGACAAUGGGCGCAAGCCUGAUCCAGCCAUACCGCGUGGGUGAAGAAGGCCUUCGGGUUGUAAAGCCCUUUUGUUGGGAAAGCGGUACCCAAAGAAUAAGCACCGGCUAACUUCGUGCCAGCAGCCGCGGUAAUACGAAGGGUGCAAGCGUUACUCGGAAUUACUGGGCGUAAAGCGUGCGUAGGUGGUUGUUUAAGUCUGUCGUGAAAGCCCUGGGCUCAACCUGGGAAUUGCGAUGGAAGCUGGGCGACUAGAGUGUGGCAGAGGAUAGUGGAAUUCCUGGUGUAGCAGUGAAAUGCGUAGAGAUCA